CGCGAAUCGCCCUUCGGGGUGCACCAGGCGCGAAAACUUUACAAUGCCGGCAACGGCGAUAAGGGAACCUCGAGUGCCAGGUUACAAAUCUGGCUGUCGUGAUGCCUAAAAAGCAUUGCAUAGCAAGGGCCGGGCAAGACCGGUGCCAGCCGCCGCGGUAACACCGGCGGCUCGAGUGGUAACCGUUAUUAUUGGGUCUAAAGGGUCUGUAGCCGGCCGGGUAAGUCUCUUGGGAAAUCUGGCAGCUUAACUGUCAGGCUUUCAGGAGAUACUGCCUGGCUCGAGGCCGGGAGAGGUGAGAGGUACUUCAGGGGUAGGGGUGAAAUCUUGUAAUCCUUGAAGGACCACCAGUGGCGAAGGCGUCUCACCAGAACGGACCUGACGGCAAGGGACGAAAGCUAGGGGCACGAACCGGAUUAGAUACCCGGGUAGUCCUAGCCGUAAACGAUACUCGCUAGGUGUCGGCCACGGUGCGACCGUGGUCGGUGCCGUAGGGAAGCCGUGAAGCGAGCCACCUGGGAAGUACGGCCGCAAGGCUGAAACUUAAAGGAAUUGGCGGGGGAGCAC
rnacentral:rRNA from 1 species